rnacentral:lncRNA from 1 species
CACAAAGCUCUAAUCUUGGGAUUAAUUGAUAAAAACAUAAAUCGCUUGUCCUUAUUGAGCAAUAAUCUAAGUGCGAAAAAGUAUAGCGAACUAACUUCUAGAAAUUCUUCUGACAUGCUGUUGAGCAUUUUGAUUGCUUGUAGAAUACCAUAUGGAUCAAUAACAGGAGUCAAACUAGAUGUGGCUUGACUCAUAUUGUCAGCUGCAUUGCAUAAUUUUUCUAUUUGACUGGACAAUCUUGUAGCCCCUCCAAUUUGUUUUUAGGAUUUCUUUCUUCCAGUUUUAAAAUGUGAACUUGAUAUCUCAGGGUUUUUUCUUUUUUGACCGUUUCCAUCAAUUUGAACAUCAUCUGAAAUGUGAACAUCAUUUCUCACAUUUUC